GUUGUGGGAUACCUCCAGCCGGAGAUGCCCAGCUUGCCCCCUUUUCUGUGCCAUGAUGGGGAUGGAUGCAGGAGCUUUUUUCCCUGCCCAGAAGUAAACCUGGCAGCCUCCUCAGAGCAUGCAGAGAGACCGAAAAGACUGGGGUCCUUCUUUUCCUCAUCCCUUCCUCCCAAACAGCACCCAGAAGAUGCUGCAAAAGAAAGUCUGUGCACUUGCUUGCUGACAUGCCUCAGUCUUAAGGCAUAGGAAAGGAUCAAGCAGAGGAAAGAGACAGGAAGCCUUUUCCUUGAAGUAAAUGCCUCCAAAUCCAGGGGGUACCAUGGCAACACAUGGUAUUUCCAACUACAGAACGACCAAUGUAGUCCAACGAAAGUCACAUGCAUAAGAAAGCACUCUGAUGAGGAAGCUGAGGAAAGCCGCCACCAGCAAGAAAGACAUUAAAUCAUUUGAGAGAAGAAAUAAAUAUUAAAAUGUCUGGGAAAAUAAAUAGGUCUUUAUUUGACUCCUAAAUGUUAUGUUAUGCUUUGCUAGGUGUGUUUCUAGGGAAGGCAUUCUACAAUGGAAGUACCACCACCAAAAAGUCUCCUUGCUGUAUCUCAUUGGUUAAAUGGUGGAGUGGGACCCCCAGUGGGAAGUGAGAGUUGCUCAAAUGGGGGUGCAAGACUUGCAGACUCUUAUUAUUAUUUAUGGUAUUUAUACCCCGCCCUUCAGCCGUAAAGGCAACAAAUCCCUUCUCUU